UUUUAUGGUGGGCUGUUUGGGGGGCCUUGUGCCCGCCGUUCCCUUGUAGCGGUAGUUCCAACCCAAACUAGCCCGCCGCCCAA
rnacentral:antisense_RNA from 1 species